CGAUGCGGGGCUCCAUCUUAUAAACCGCGAGGUUAUGACCUGAGCUGAAACCAAGAAUCAGACGCUUAACCGACUGAGCCCCCCAGCAACCCUCCUGCCCCCCGGGGGUGGUAUUUCAGGUAGAAGGAAGGACACACGUCACAUCAUGGAAACCUGCAACAGCUUCCUGUGUGUGGGAACCCCUCCCCCCACCGCCGGAGCUCAGCAUUCCGGCUCCAGAACUGCACCUCCUGGGCGUGACCUCCACACUCUGUAAGACGCGUGACCUUGGGCAGGGCCGACCGCGCUCCCCAAACCCGCUUCCUCCGCCAUAAGGGGGGGGGCGUGGUCACGUCUGCGUCACAGGCUUGUCGUGAGGCUGGGACGAAGCCGAGCGCGCAGGUGCCCGCAGGUGUGUGGCACGUAGUAGGUGCUCAGUGCACGCCAGCUGCUCUAACUCGGGACGCAGGCGGCACGGCACACCAGACGUCCACCAGACGUAGGGGGACACGACUGCGUUCGGGCACCGGAGCCAGCAAAAGGAUGGGGAGCACCACCACCUGGCUGGCGUCUCGUGAGGUGCGCUGUGGCCUGGAAGCGUGGAGUCCUGGCCGCAGGGUUCAGAAGGCCUCACUGUGCCGGCUCAGCCCCAUCAGUCAGCCUGUUCCUUCCUCGAGCCCCGUUCCGUCCGCCCGGGGGGGUUCGGCUCACAACCCACCUCGAAGGGUCGCGGCAAGGGGGACGCUGAGUAACAGAAGGUCAGCCUCCCACCCACUCGAGACGAGACGCGGCAAACGUUACUUCGAUGGCAACAGGCGCUUCGGUGCAGUCGAACGGCAAAGCCCCGUCGGCAGGCCCGCACCCGCACGGCCUCACUCUCUCCUGGCCCGUUCUCGGGCCUCCGGAGCUGCCUGCUUCCCCUCGCGCGGCAGUCAGGGCCCGGUCGCCCCUGACGUGUCUGCCGUCCCCUAGGCCGGGGCCACGUCCCCGAGGCUGGAAAGCGGACCGAGAAAGCUUCCGCUGUCACACCUUUCCUUUAGCCGCAGCUUGUGGGCAGACGGAUCUCGUUCCUCCUCUGGCCCCGAACCCAGGGAACACCGUUUGCUUUACGUUUUCAUCUCGCGACACCUGUCUUCUCUGCCGCAACGGUUUCGGGAGGCGCGGCGGCCCGGUGGCUGCCCGCGGCCCAGCCCGCCGCUCCGAGCGGGGCCUGGUGUGCGAUGAGCCGGUUCGGGAGACCCGGCAGAAGUUUCACAAGUUUCGGACAUACAUAAGGCCUCGCUCAGGCGGAGCAGGGCCGGGACCUGUGGCCCCAGCCUUGUACCCUUGAUACUCAAGACAGCAAGCCACUCGCGAGCAGGAUGGCCCCCGGGAAAGUGGGCGAGGAGGCAGCGAGCCUUGGUGGUCAGCGGCAGGUCGGGGCCGUCUCCUGGGCGGUGGGUUUGGGCCGCUACAGCCACUUGAAACGCUCCUCGGAGGCAAGCCGGCUGGCAUAAUCUUCUCGCCCUGGCUCCCUCGGCUCACCCUUUGUGCAGACAGGGGAGCCCGGAAACAGGGAGUUUAACACCCGAGGCCCGGACCGGACGAGUGAGCGGACAACGUGGACACUUAGUGUGUGUGCAGAGGACAGAGGAGGAGGGGAGCUGCUUGUCACUGCCUGCUCCUGGCCGAAGGCGGUGUUGGGAUUGGCGGUGGGCGGGCGCUGGGAGGGCCACCAGGGCAGGGUCACCGGGCAGGUCCCUGUGUACCUGUGCCUGUGCACGCGUGUGUGGCUGUGACCCAGUCCUCAGUAUCCAGCGUCCAAUGUCCCCUUCUACUAGCGCGAGUGAUGCCGGAAGCUCACCCAGACGCCAAGGACUCUCGCCCCGCGCCAGGCACCGUGCUAAGCAUAUGACAUGGUGACUCACUUCAUCCUCCAAAAACAGUAGUUGUUACGAUCACCCCCAUCCUAUAGCCGAGGAAACGGACAGACAAGUGCAGGGGCCUUGUCUCUCUCUCCCCCCUGCGGGUUGUCUCCGCUGAGCUGCAGCACCCCUGCGGGACCUGCUCCGGCCGAUGACGUGAGAGGGCCAGCGGCACCCCGGCCGGCGGCUCUGGGAGCCAGGGUGCGCUCGGCGACCGACCGCCGGUGUCCAGCAUUGCUGUGCCAUCAGCCUGCACCCCGGGGGAAGGACCAGCCCCCCGCGGUCUGCCUUUGUGGGGCCGUUAUCAGAACACAGCUCAGCCUGUCUGGACGGAGUGGGAUCCAGGCCCCUCCAGCAUGGUGAGGACUCAGAAGAUCCCACGCCUGGACGUCUUCCCCAGUGUCUUCGCUGACUCCUUGUCCCCCCUCCCCCGCCCCCCGGCCCGUACUCCAGACAGACACGGGUCACAUCGUUCGCCCAUGCUCGUCCCUGUCAUCAGACUGAGCUCCCAGGGGCGCACUUCUGGUCUCUGGCUUCCCAGCAUUUAGCGCAGAGCCUGGGGGCACAGGAGGUGCUAAGAGCACGUUCACGGAGUGAAUAUCUGUAGGAAAGGAUCCUGGGCACCGCAGUUACCCCGAGGGACAAAGCCCCAGGUGUCCAAGAAGGCCAGUCCACCUCUGACCCCACGUUCUUGGCAGGUGACACGGGAAGGUAAGCUAUUCCGGGAACCUGGCACCCGGGGAGUCUACCCGGCUGGCUAGCAGGAUUUGUCCCAUCGUCUCCAGGCCGCCGCAGUAAAUCAGCAGGUGCGAGGAAUUUACCCCAGAGAGUGAUCCGGCAAUGGCAUGAAUGAGUAAUUUACAAAGGCCAUUACGGCGGCACAGAAUUACUUAUUUAUGGGAACUUUUUGACAGAUCUGCGGCUUAAUCAUUUAUCCCUCCGAACAUUUAGCCAGGGUCAUUGGUAAAUAAUUCACUUAUUACACACUCCAGAGUGGUUUAUGGCACCGUGACUUAUGAUCUCACAUGAGUGCGCAGCCGGGGAGCUAGGACGUGAAGGCCAGGGAAGGAGGGGGGUUUGAGAGUCCUCACACAGAGCCAGGCGGGGACACCGCGAGCAGGUGCCCAGGCCCCGGCGACAAGGGGCUUCUGCUCGGAGUCGGGUUGACGGUCCUACGGAUGGAUGCUCGUGCCUGGUCUCACCUUCGGGGGGACAGUGAAGAGAGGAAGUCGGUGUGCAGAGACCGGUCGAAAAAUGGUGGGACUUAGCUCCAGGCGGAGUGGAGACAAAGUGCAGCUUUGGGAGCUCUCCAUCUGCCCCCCCACCCGACACUGGAGACCCUCCCGGGACUGUCCCCAGUCCCUGCCUGGUCUUAAGACUCCGUCUGCCCUUAUGUCAGCAUCACCACCGGGCCCCAACCAGGCUCACGGCAUUCCUCUGCCCUCAUCGCCCGUAUAAUACUCUUCUAACUGCUGCUUUGUAUUCAGUUUUCACUCAAAGCCCACCUCCUGCAUGAAGCCCUCCCAGACUACCUGAGCCCUGUUUGCUCCCUUGAGAACGUACAAAGGGCCAGGCACACAUCGAGUACCUUACGCAUGCUGUUGAGUGGCCUAUUUCCCCAGCUAGAAGAGGUGUCUUCUGGGGGCCAGGACUCAGCCUAAGUGAACGUGGCUUCCACUGCAGCCAGCUCAGACCCUGCCCCCGAGGGAGUUCAAAAAGCGUGGGCGGUUGAUGGCGAUGGGAGUAACGAGGAUGCCAGUGAAGACGGUGGAGAUGAUUCCCGCCACGUCUUACCACUGCUCCCCUUCGCACUCCACACCUCCCCCCGCCCCCAGAGACAGUGGAACCGCAUGGCCGGAUCUUUGAGGUUCUGGGGGCUUCUCACCGCCCCGUAUGUGGAUAGAGGAGCUCACGUGGGGAUGGAGAGGGGCGUCUGGGCAGAGUCGCUGGAGAGGCAGCGAGUGGAGGGUCCGAGAGCAAGGGUCAAGCUAGCCGCUCUUACUGAAGACCCUUCCCCAGCCACAUCGGCCCCAUUCGGAAGCUUCCAGAGAGACGCUGGGAUUCCUCAGCGUGUUCUCCCCACCCCGUAGAUCCGCCUCCUGAGGCUGAGGCCGGCUAAAGCAGCUCUCCUACCUUGGUGUCAGUCCUGGUUCUUGCGCAGUAGGCAACGACAGCGAAAGAACAGCGCUCCCCUCUCUCUGUAUGGGAAGACAAAGAACCCGUGCCCCCUGCCCGCCCACGGGAAGUCCUGCUCAGAGCCUAGCCUCAGGCACUCUUGCUGUGACGUUCCAGAAAGUGUGGGGUGUUGAGCAGGUCACCCUCCCCUGCAGCGGGGAAACCCCCGGCCUGCCCAGGUGAGCUGGGAGGGGAGAGGGGAUGAGCAGAGGCUCCCUGUCUGCCCUGAAACCCCUGUGGCCCCGGGGAACCCGGACCCGAAACGGGCCUCCAGUCCCUGCCCCGGGGAACCCUGACUCAAAACGGGCCUCCAGUCCCUGCCUAGACUGGACAGGGUCCCAUGCUUUGUUGCCAUAUUCAUUUUUAUGCAGUUUUCACAACCACCAUGUCAGGAGGGAUCCUUGUUAGCUUCUGCCACGGACUGAACUGUGUCCCCCCAAAAUCCGUCUGGUGGAACCCCAACCCCCAAUGUCACUCUUUGGAGAAUGGGACUUUAGGGACAUAAUCAAGGUUAAAUGGGGUCAUAAGGGUGGGAUCCUAACCCGAUAGGACGCGAGUCCUUUUAAAAGAGGAAGAGACAGCGGAGCUCCCCCUGCAGGCCCUGUGGGUGCACAGAGGACAGGUGAGGGAGGACCCUGGAAAGAAGGCAUCCCCUGCUGCCCAGGAGGGAGGUCUGUCUCUCCAGGGAUCCACCCCCACGGGCACCCCGAUCUUGGACGACCAGCUUCAAGAACUGCAGGAGACAAACGUCUGCCAUGUAAGCCGCAGGGUCCGUGGUGCGUUGUCGCGGCCCCCCGGCGUGGAUUUUUCCAGUUUCCUUUCAGAGUCCGGGAGGGCGGAAUGGCUCGCCCAAGUCACCCAAACAAGAAGUGACAGAGUGAGGGCUUGAAUUAGGACGGGGGUCCCCCUGGCCGUGCUGGCUUCUGUCGAUCCGGUCCUGGAGCCCAGACUGGACUGGAGCGAGGGGCGAACGCAGGACGCAGGGGAGGGGAGGGCGGGGGCGGGGCUCCCUCCUGGCUCUGCGGGGCAGCACUGCCACCUGCUGGCCACAGCCGCAACCACACCAGCCACCAAAGGCACCAUUUCCGUCCUGUUUUGGUUUGUUUAUUUUUAUUGCGGUAAGAACACCUCGCCCGAGAUCUACCGACUUCAGAAAAUUUCAAGUACACGAUACAGUGUUGUUAAUUGUGAGCACCGGGUUGGACAGCAGACGUCUAGAACUUACUCCUCUUGUGUCACUGGAAUUUUCUUUACUGCUCCCAUCCCCUCUCCCUCCUAAUUCCACGCCCCCCAUUGUCUCCUGCAGGCAGGUAGCUAAUAUGCCGGGACCCUGGCCACCAGAGGAAAAAAAGAGGUCCACAUGGAGGCACGUCCUCUUGGGUCUGGGUAGAAAACGGACGGCAAGCAGAAAACGGUGACUGACCCCAAGGAGUGGAGGACUGGAGUGGGAGCACCUGAGACCUCCCUGCGCGACCCGGGGCGAUGAGGUGGGCAGCGUCCCGAACGCAGUCCUGUGACCACUCGUAGCUGCGAGGGAAGCCUUGAAGACGAGGAAGGAGAGGCUGGGAGAGGAGCCACCGGAGAGCGGCAGAGCCCAGGGCAGCCCCAUGCCGGUGGCCUUGCCCCUCUCGACAACAGGACUCUUGACAAAGUCCCCAGACUUUGUGUGAUCCCCAGCACGCUGGAGACACUCAGCACUUGCUCAGCCCUUGGCGGAUUCGUCGCCCUUUUCUGACUUCUGAAGACCUCGGCUCUCUGUGCCAGACGGCCGUAUCCUCAGCCCCCCUGCAGAACCGUGCCCCUACGUCCUGGUCCACACGUGUGGAAGGACUGUUACGCGACGCAUUUACUCGGCUGCCCUGGCUUCCUGGUGUUCGCACCGGGGGAGAAAUGGGUCUGUCAGCAUCCGGGUCUCCCAUUCUCCGAGACCGUUUGACUUAAUUCUCUAUGUCUCUCAGUGGCAGACUGAGACCUGGAGGGAUGAGACGGGGGUCCAAAGCGCCCACGACAGUCAGAAAGCGUCUUUACUCCGCCCAGGAAGUGGGUGUGGCAGGUGGUCACUGCUUCCUGAUGGGGGCGGUGGGGGCGGGGGUUUAGGCAACGAGAUCUGGACACUUUUAGGUCGGAUUCCACCCCCUGCUGGUGGGACACGGCCUCACUCGCGGUGAGGCUUGGGGCGGCCGUGGAGAAAGCCAGCUUUCCUCUGGGAUCCGCGGCCGCCGGGGUCUCAGUUUUACCAGCAGGUUCUCCCGCUCGAGGGCCUCGGGCAAGCCGUGUAACCCAAGUGUCUGCUUCCUCUCCUGCAAAGCGGGGGUGACAAGAGUCCUCAUCUCGUGCCGCCGCGAGGAGUAAGCGAGGGGCCCUGCGUGCAGCGUUUGAGCCCACGGUAAACGCACCGCACACAGUGGGCAUUGAACGCCCGGCCGUCGCGAUAUUCCUGCCGCCGCGGUGGCCGGACCGUGGCGUAAGACGUGGGAGGCUCAGCGUGGUCACUUCCCCACAUCUUCCUCACCCUCGCCCCCGGGGGAGCUGUGCAGCCGCAGAGGGUCACUGCUGUCUGCGAUGUGGGGUUUGCACUGCCCCUCCGUCUCUUCUGACACCGUCCUGGAUCCGCUUGCUUGCGAGAGCCCUCCCCGGCCUUCUGGAAUCUUCCACUUGGCUCAAACAAGCAGCUUGCUGGGCUCAGGGGGCUGGCCUGCCCGAGGGUCCCGGCACUUUUCUCUUGAACCAGGGAUGCCUCGUUACUCCCGGGCGGGGGCUGCCUGGGGAUGAGCUGCCCGGGGAAGAGCACCGAGCACUGCCUCCCAUGCUGUGCUCCUCUGCUGUCCUAGGGUUGAAUAGCCAGGAACUGGGUGAGCCGGUGGUCAAACUGCUGGUUGUUUGAAAUCAGCUGUGGCUGGAGUGUUGGCACCAUGGAAAUUGGCAAACUCCACUCAGAGCAUCAUUCUCUCCCUCAGACACUGGCUUCCCAGUGCAUCACGGAACAAACCCUUCUCCUGAAGCUCUCUAGCUGGAGGUUGGGGGGCAGGGGCAGCUAUAGGAUUCUGAGCUAGACGUAUGGUGCCUCGCUGGUGGUGGGGCUUUGUGGGGCAAUCCUGGCAAACUAGGGUGAGACCAAAUAUGGUUUACCCGGCACUCUCUCCCCUGGAGCUGAAGAAGGGCUCAAUGUCAGCCACACGCGGGUUGAUCCCAGUGAAUGAGGCCACGGCCCCUUCUCAGGGUCAGGAGUCACUGUGGGGACCUGUAAGAUCUCACUGGGGGUAGUUUCAGUUUGUCUGAACAUUAGAAUCACCAGGGGAAUAAUGUGGAUUUAAAAAUCUUGAGGGGCUCCUGGGUGGCUCGGUCGGUUAAGCGUCCGGCUUCGGCUCAGGUCAUGAUCUCGCAGUCCAUGAGUUCGAGCCCCGCGUCGGGCUCUGUGCUGAUGGCUCGGAGCCUGGAGCCUACUUCUGAUUCCGUGUCUCCCUCUCUCUCUCUGCCCCUCCCCUGCUCAUGCUCUGUCUCUUUGUCUCUCAAAAAUGAAUGAACAUUAAAAAAAAAAAAACAAUCUUGAUUUCCAGGCAUUGCCCCAGACUCUUAGAGAAUUGGGAGGUAGGGCCCUGGGUAUCCGCACUUUUUAGGGUUCCUCACAGGGUGCAGCCAGGAUUGAGAACCAGCAGUCCCAGGAGUGAUGUGUCCACCAGAGGCCGGGAGGAACAGACCGCAUGUCUAGACGCCCCGGGCAGUGAGGGUGCCGCCACGGCGGGACGUCCGGGAGGCAUGGGAGCCCCCGGGAUGCCGACUCUGGGGCUCGGCUUGAGCCCUGCAUUCGGAGAGCCCGUGGCUGGGGCGGGACUCGUGUGGGAUCCAGGACCUGCCUUCCUUUUGUCCCCAGGCUGCAGUGAAGCCCUGAGACACCAUCAGGAGGAAGGGGAGACAGGCGUGGGUUGCGUAACAAGGAUACCGUGUGAUCUUUACCCCAGUGGCUUCUAGGAGAGUCAGGAGUCCCUGGAAGAGAAGGAGAACCCAGAGGCCCGGUAGCAGCAGCUGCCUCUUCACAGUCUCACCCAACCCCACCCCCCUCCCCGCCCC